GGAACAGGGCGGCUCUGUCCCACACACAGCCUGGCCUGUUCUGCCUCUGCAGGCUCCUCAGUGGCACAGGGUGAGCUUGGCCUGAAGCUGCUCACAGCGGCGUCAGCUCCAUCUCAGCUCAGGCCCACCAGAUGGAGAAUCACAUAACAAAACUACUCUGCAAUGUGAUAGCAGCAUUUCCCUUCCUGUCGAGAACCACAGAAUAGACAGGGGAAACAGCAGGAUCUGGACGAUGGAAAAUAAGGUUUCCUGACCCCUGGGCAUCCCCACCUUGACCCUGGAUUGACUGUGCGUGAGCAAGAGAAGAGCCCAUAAUAGUUGCUACUUCAUCAUCAUCAUCUACAUCAUCAGACCCAGCUGGGCAUGCUGAGAACCACGGAAUCAUUUGCUUGGAAAAGACCUUAAAGACCAUCGGAUCCGACCCUCAAUUUGCUUUCUAAUGCCUAUGAAAGUGCACCCUGAGAGAAAACCUCCUCUUACGAGCUACUGGAAACACCACUGGCAAGGUCUAGAAUGGUUCCACACGUAGAACAGUAGCCAAAAGGCCUCACAUCUCUUGUGCAAACAAAGGAUGUUGGGUGCCCAGGGAAGGAAAGCUGAAGCACAUGCCAACACUGGCUCCUGUUCUAAGUCAUGCAUUAGUUUGGCUCAAGUUAGAAAGGCCCAUGGGCCACAUAAAACUACACAAUCAAGGUCUAUUCUAUAACACCCAGAGGGACUGUGUUAAGGUUACCAGGCAUCUCUAAUCCUGUUCUUUCUUAAGUUCUCAGAGACUGACUUUUUCCUUGCAUUCUUGCAUACAGCCCUGUUUAACCUGAAGUUAGUGAUGACUGUGACUUUUAUUAGAAAUGGAACAAAGAUGAGUCAAGGGAAUAUUUGUGUUAUGGCAACAGGUGAGGCUCCAAAGAGAAAACAGACGUCCUCAGAUGUGCUAAGAAAAUUGUUCUAAAUUAUAC